AAACUUUUUUGAAUAUCAUAUCAAAAAUUGACCGCUCCAGCGGGAUUCGAACCCGCGUCUUCGACAUACCGUGUCGACGCUCUAGCCAAUUAAGCUAUGGAACGAUAUACUCGCCAGAGCGAAACUUUUGAUAUGAUGAUUUUUACUUUCGGUUUAAGCGAACCGUGGCGCCGUCUAUAGUGAGUUCUUUACAGAGACUCGUAACUAUUCAAAGUUUCAUAUUACAAUGAAAAUCUUUGACAGGAGACGACACCAUGCUAUUUUUAAUAUGUACGAUUUUUAUUUUUGUGUUACCCACAAUUAGGAAUUCUAAACAUUUUUGAAUAUCAUAUCAAAAAUUGACCGCUCCAGCGGGAUUCGAACCCGCGUCUUCGACAUACCGUGUCGACGCUCUAGCCAAUUAAGCUAUGGAACGAUAUACUCGCCAGAGCGAAACUUUUGAUAUGAUGAUUUUUACUUUCGGUUUAAGCGAACCGUGGCGCCGUCUAUAGUGAGUUCUUUACAGAGACUCGUAACUAUUCAAAGUUUCAUAUUACAAUGAAAAUCUUUGACAGGAGACGACACCAUGCUAUUUUUAAUAUGUACGAUUUUUAUUUUUGUGUUACCCACAAUUAGGAAUUCUAAACAUUUUUGAAUAUCAUAUCAAAAAUUGACCGCUCCAGCGGGAUUCGAACCCGCGUCUUCGACAUACCGUGUCGACGCUCUAGCCAAUUAAGCUAUGGAACGAUAUACUCGCCAGAGCGAAACUUUUGAUAUGAUGAUUUUUACUUUCGGUUUAAGCGAACCGUGGCGCCGUCUAUAGUGAGUUCUUUACAUUAUCAUCAUAUCAAAAGUUUCGCUCUGGCGAUAUAUCGUUCCAUAGCUUAAUUGGCUAGAGCGUCGACACGGUAUGUCGAAGACGCGGGUUCGAAUCCCGCUGGAGCGGUCAAUUUUUGAUAUGAUAUUCAAAAAUGUUUAGAAUUCCUAAUUGUGGGUAACACAAAAAUAAAA
rnacentral:tRNA from 1 species